GCCGCGCGCAGCCGUGUUUCCUUCGGAACCGGCGCUGCCUGGUGGGGUGGGGAUGUGGGGUCGCUAGAGCGAAAGCUGCCGACGACCCUGCACCCCCCUACCCCCCCCUCCCCGAGAGAAGGGCGAAAGCUGUGUGGAGAGCUGUGCAUCCCCGGCCAUCAGCAUGCUUGCUUUUUUUAAAUUUUGGCCAUUCGAGCUACUGUCAACACCUGGCAAUUUUUUAAAAAGUCAUUUCAUUCACCAAAUACCGAUUGUGUAGCUAAGUACGCGAGGGGAACGAGAGGCAGCUGGGAUAUCGUGGAAGGAGCAGUGAAUGGAGCCAGGAUGCUGGAUUCUGGUCUUGGACCCGCUCUAAGCAGACCACUUUCCCAGUAAAUUAUUUGUAGCUCAGUUUCCUCAAAAUAGGAUGACAAUGUUUCUCUUACAAGCCUAGGGUGAGGAUUUAAUAUAACCAAUUGGCUGUCUAGGAAAGGCCUUUGAACAUCUCAACAGGACCUCAGGCAGCCACUACCAACCAACCGGAGUUGGCCCUUGAGAUGAAACCUAUCUGAUAUCCCUGUUCUAGAGGAAAUAAGGAUUUCACAAGCCAAUGAACUCUGGUCUUGACCGGUCUUCUCAAGAUGAGCUGAACCUCACACCUUUUAUUGCUCUUCAUCAUCCUCACAUCCCCGAAGGACACAGAGGUGAUGUGUCUCAAGAAGGUUUUCAAAAGCAUGGGUCUGCCGGACAGAGCAGGAAGCAAGCUACCUUGUUGUCGGUUGUCCUUUGGGAAGGCCCCUCAAGGCAGAUAAGGGAGGAAGACCUCUAGCCAACAGCCAGCAAGGAACUGAGACCCUUAGUCCAACAGCCUAUGAGGAACGGAAUCCUGCCAACAGCUACAUAAGUGGGGAAUCCCUCCCCAGUCAAGCCUUGAGAAAAGACCACAACCCUAGCUGAUACCUGAACUGCAGCCUGUAAGAGAACCUUGAGGCAGAGGCACACAGCUAAGCUGAAUCCAGAUUUCUGACCCACAAAAACUGUGAGAUAAUAAAA